rnacentral:rRNA from 1 species
GGCGGACGGGUGAGUAACGCGUAAAGAACUUGCCCUUUAGACUGGGAUGACAGAGGGAAACUUCUGAUAAUACUGGAUAAGUUAGUAUAUCGCAUGAUAUGCAAAUGAAAGCUACGGCACUAAAGGAGAGCUUUGCGUCCUAUUAGCUAGUUGGUAAGGUAAGAGCUUACCAAGGCGAUGAUAGGUAGCCGGCCUGAGAGGGUGGACGGCCACAAGGGGACUGAGAUACGGCCCUUACUCCUACGGGAGGCAGCAGGU